rnacentral:miRNA from 1 species
CAGAUUUCGUCAGCAGCGGGCU